rnacentral:tRNA from 1 species
GACCGGUUAGUUUAAACUAAAAUAAGUGAUUUCGACUCACUAGACUGUAAUUCAACUUACAACCGCCCU